GACGAACGCUGGCGGCGUGCUUAACACAUGCAAGUCGAACGGAAAGGCCCUGCUUUUGUGGGGUGCUCGAGUGGCGAACGGGUGAGUAACACGUGAGUAACCUGCCCUUGACUUUGGGAUAACUUCAGGAAACUGGGGCUAAUACCGGAUAGGAGCUCCUGCUGCAUGGUGGGGGUUGGAAAGUUUCGGCGGUUGGGGAUGGACUCGCGGCUUAUCAGCUUGUUGGUGGGGUAGUGGCUUACCAAGGCUUUGACGGGUAGCCGGCCUGAGAGGGUGACCGGCCACAUUGGGACUGAGAUACGGCACAGACUCGUACGGGAGGCAGCAGUGGGGAAUAUUGCACAAUGGGCGGAAGCCUGAUGCAGCAACGCAGCGUGCGGGAUGACGGGCUUCGGGUUGUAAACCGCUUUCGCCUGUGACGAAGCGUGAGUGACGGUAAUGGGUAAAGAAGCACCGGCUAACUACGUG
rnacentral:rRNA from 1 species